GUGCUCACUUCAACAGCACAUAUACUAAAAUUAUAAUCUACAGAGAAGAUUGGCAUGUCCCCUGCACAAGAAUGACACACAAAUUCAUAAAGCAGUCCAUAUUUUG
rnacentral:snRNA from 2 species